CCCUUAGAUGUUCUGGGCGGCCCGCGCAUUACAUUGGCACUCUCAAUAAGUUCCUAGAUCUAAAACUUUGGGGUAUUCUAUUAAGUGGUGUCGUGACUGGGAUUAACCCUUGCAAUUAUUGGUUACGAACGAGGAAUUCCUUGUAAUCGCGGUUUAUCAGCCCGCGUUGAAUGCGUCCCUGCCCUUUGUACGCACCGCCCGUCGCUCCUACCGAUGAAUCGUCCGGUGAAGUUCAUGGAGUGGUGGUUGUUCCAGCUGCUGUCGAAGUGAAAUGGACCUCACGAUUUAGAGGAAGGAGAAGUCGUAACA
rnacentral:rRNA from 1 species